CGAGGGAGGAGUCGGAGAGCUCCCCACAGAUGGUGGUGGCCUGGGACUGAGUCAGGCAAAGCUGGGGCUAUGAGUGAAAGUUUCCAAGCAGACAGCGGGCUUAAAUGGAACAAAAUUAACAAGCGGCCAUUAAGGGGAAAAGGGGUGCUGCUGCUGUGCCCUGUCAAGAGGAGGACAGUGCAGGGCGGCCUUCUCUUGGUUUGGGGACCCUUCAUUUCUUGAACACAAACACGCCCCCACUAGAAAUGAGCUAGACUUUCUUCUGAAGAGCUCUACCCUCCCUUACUUUGGAGGCCCGUCUUGUGUCCCAGAAGGAACAGCAUAAAUGCUCUCU